rnacentral:lncRNA from 1 species
AUGGAUGCAGCCCUUCAUUGGAGAGAAGGAAUACCCUUCAGUGGAGAGAAGGAAUACCCUUCAGUGGAGAGAAGGAAUACCCUUCAGUGGGGAGAACGAAUACCGAGUUUGAUCAAAAUAUCUCUAAGAGGAAGAGGGGUUCAGCAGGCUCUCCCUGUUCGAUGGAAAGCAACACCUUUAACUCUCUUCAGGGCCUCUUGCUGUGUUGCUCUAUUUCCCAAGCAGAGGGAAAGAUGCAUCAUUAUGUCCUGCAGUAGAGUCCAAAGAAUGUGCCACAAAAUAUUAGCUUUAUUGGUUGUCAAGAGGGAUCAUGUGUAGCAAUAGGUGAGCAGAAUUAAACAAAAUAUUUAAUAUUUGUCAGUUUUAAAUAUGCCAGUAUUAAUCCACAAAAGAGAGAGAGAUAGUUUCCCAAGUUUCACUAAAUCACUUGGCCAGGAAAGCCUCUGGCAUAAGAACUUUGAGAAAUCGUGUUUCAGGGAAAUUGUUCACAAGAAUCUAUCAAGGUUUGGACCAGCUUGGCUUUGGUGUAGGGGAAGAUAGAAAAGAAACACAAUUGAGGAGAAGGAACAAAAAGUGGAGAGGAGCCAAAACAAACUUCAGCUUUGUGGAAUUUUCCUGGGAUUUGCCUUAGUUUGUGAAUGGCUAUUAAUGAUACACCCAAUUCUCUUAGACCACCCCUCGCUCCCCUGGUUUUCUGUAGUCAGUGAUAUGUGAAUGCCUUUAGCAUGCAGCUCAGUACUGAACUCUAGGGGAGUGUUGCUUUGGGCAUCUGUAGAGUGUCCAGGACUGCUGCGGCUGUGCUAAGUUUGUGCUACUUGACAGUAGAACUAGAAAGCUUACAGUCAACCGAUUUGUGUGGGUUUAGGUGGAUGAGGGUGUGGAGAAGUCUGUGUGGGUGGAGGAGGGGCAGUGCUAUGUGUUCUGUGUGUGGUCAUUAGUAGAGAAUUCACUCAGAAACUGAGCAAAAUUAGCCAGUAAGGUCAAGAAAGCCCGGGGCUAAUGAGACACUGGUUUUCUGAGUGUCUCCUUGAUUUCGGUUUUUCUAAUUGAUACUUGAUCUAUAUAUGUGUCAUGUCUUGUUGGAUUUAGUGUUUUUAAGAGCAAGAUUUAGAAACGAUUCUUUACUUGAGAGGAACACUUCUACAUAACAGGUGCCAGAUCCCAUCUACUGGCUUACUCCUUGAAUUGCCUGUGAUGGUUGGUACUGGGCAGGUCAGGAGCUGAGAGCCAGGAGUGCAGUCAGGUCUCCCUUAUUCCUGCUCUGGAUGUUAUUUGAGCCAUUGUUGAAGCUUCCAGGGUCUGCUUUAGCAGGAAGCUGGAGUCAUGAGCCAGAGCCCAGAAUCAAAUGGAGGUUUCGUGAUAUGUGAGUGUUUUAGCUGUGAGGCUAAAAACACUGCCCUGAGAGUGAGAAUUUGUCAUGCACUACUCCACGCAUUCAAGUGCUGGUAAUUGUUAUCAUUGUUGUGUUAUGUGCAUUUGGUGCAGAUGCUGAAGUAAGCAUAAGGCUUUGUGUAGUGCUAAGCAGUCAGCAGAAACCCAUGAGAAUAUUGUGGCAGAUAUACUUCUUGCAACAUUUUAUUAGACAUUUUUUAUACACCACUGUUUUGACAAGCUACUGUUGCAAAGGUAAUUUACCAGGAAAGUUCACCUUGUAAUUGAAAUUUUCCACAUAAACUUUAGAUGGUUUAUUUUCUUUCUUUUUUUUUUUUUGUAUUUUGUUUUGAAGUUUUAGGCUCAGGUUUUUAAAAGAAUUUUAUAAAUCAUGAAGUUCAUUUUAUGUGUAGGAAACUUAGGUGAUCUUAUAUAAAUACAGAUAUAAUUUGUUAAUUGAGUAAAUAGCCAAAUGAUCCACUAAGAAGUUUGAAUGUUUUGUAAGUUCGUUAAACUCAAAACUGUCACAUCAAAACUGUGUUGAAAUAUUACCCCGUUCCAGGUAAUCUGGCAAUUACAAAAAAGAUAAAAGAUAACAAAGGUUGACAAGGAUGUGAAGAAAAGAGAACUCUCGCUGUGGUUGGUGAGAGCAUAAAUUAGUAUAGCCAUCAUUGGAAACAAUAUGUAAGUUCUUCAAGAAACUAAAAGUAGAACUACCAUCAAUGCUGCUGCUGGGAAAUGAAACCAGCCUGGACAUCUGCACCCCCAUCUUGCUUGCAGCACACUGUUCACAGUAGCCAAGAAACAGGAACAACCGAGUGCCCGUCCUCUAAUGAGUGAGUAAGGCGAUGUGGUGAGUCUAUAUACACAAUGGGACACUACUCACCUGUGAAAAAGAACGAACGGUUGCCAUCUGUGCCACAUGGUUGGAACUGGAUCAGGUUGGAACCUGACAUCCCUGCUCCCCCAGUGAAUCGUGAUUCUAAAUCCAGUUGUAAUAUAUAAACUGGAAAGGACUAAAAUAGGUAUUACCUCAAAAAACAUAUACAUUUUUUCUUUAAGUACGCUUCAAAUAUAUUUUUUAUGAAAUUAAAAAAAAACUUGAUAGUUACAUUUUCCUUUUUGCCUGUGACAAUAAUUGAAUUUGGGCCUGCCAUUUGUGGCAAGUACUUGGGUUGCCCUUUUCUGUGCCCACAUCCCAUAUUGGAGUGCCUGGUGGAAGUCCCCGCUUGUCGCUCCCCUUCUUCGUGGAGGAAUGACACUAAACCCUGCCUAGGCUUCAUAUCCGAGUCACGGCACCAUUAUGUUGCUCCCCCUCUUCGUGGAGGAACGACACCAAACCCUGCCUAGGCUUCAUAUCCGAGUCACGGCACCAUUAUGUCGCUCCCCCUCUUCGUGGAGGAGCAACACUAAACCCUGCGCUGUUCUUUCGUCUGCUCGGCCCUCCCCGGGUUUGCUGCUGGUUCUUCCCGGGUUGGCUACUAUCCCUUCCACCUCCGUGGAAGGGCAGUUCCCCCUGGCCACAUUCCCCACUUCCGCAGGGGAGUGGCACACCGCCGGCCGGCUCUUCUCGGGGGCUGCACAGGUGUUCCCUUAGAUGUUCCCCAUAGAUGUUCCCGGUGCAUGCCGUCUCUCUCCUCCUUUAUAGUCCUCCUCCGCCAAUCCUAACUCGGCUGCCCACACGCCGAGUACGCUGCUCUCCUCCAAUCAGGAGCAAGUCCUACAGUUUAUUAGUUGAACUGGAGGCAGCUGUGCGGAAGCUGUUUACUCCUCUCCCAGCGCCAUAUUGUGGGAGAGCAGAUGCAUAGAAUAAGUCUUAAUUCCAGUAACUCAGUCCAGUCCGGAUUGCUCCCCACACCCGCUACUCUGCUUCCAAACCAGCUUUCUUCUACUGUGCAUCCUCAGAGGCAAUGGAUGAUGGCUCAAGUACUUGGGUCCCUGCAAUAAAUGUGUAUCAUCCAGAUGGAAUUCCUGGUUC